rnacentral:misc_RNA from 1 species
CCGAAUUACUUCAGAGCGCCAAGGGUCACGUCGGCCGAGAGCUUGGCGAUGAACUGGUCGCCGCACCACUUGGAGCCGAAACCACCCGGGUUGAUCGCGCUGAACGAACCGGUCUGCUGAGCGGUGAAGUCGCUGGUGAAAGCGUUACAGCCAGCCUUCGACAGGUCGGUGCCCGAGUAGCGCAGGUCGAGGGUGAACACCUUGUAGGUGAAGCCGACGCCCACGUUCCAGGUGUUGUAGUCGUCGUACUUGAUGCCGUUCGGGAACGGACCGGCAAAGCCUGGGGCAACGAUAUUGGUGCCG